UCCCUGGAACGGGCACGCCACAGAGGGUGAGAGCCCCGUCUGGUCGGACACCGAGCCCGUGUGAAGCUCCUUCGAAGAGUCGAGUAGUUUGGGAAUGCUGCUCAAAAUGGGAGGUAUAUGUCUUCUAAAGCUAAAUAUUGGCCAGAGACCGAUAGCGCACAAGUAGAGUGAUCGAAAGAUGAAAAGCACUUUGAAAAGAGGGUUAAAAAGUACGUGAAAUUGUUGAAAGGGAAGCGCCCAUGACCAGACUUGGGCCCGGUGAAUCACCCGGCGUUCUCGCCGGUGCACUUUGCCGGGCACAGGCCAGCAUCAGUUUGGCGCGGGGGACAAAGGCUUCGGGAACGUGGCUCCCUCGGGAGUGUUAUAGCCCGCUGCGUAAUACCCUGCGCCGGACUGAGGUACGCGCAUCGCAAGGAUGCUGGCGUAAUGGUCAUCAGCGACCCGUCUUGAAACACGGACCAAGGAGUCGUCUUCGUAUGCGAGUGUUCGGGUGUCAAACCCCUACGCGGAAUGAAAGUGAACGCAGGUGAGAGCUUCGGCGCAUCAUCGACCGAUCCUGAUGUUCUCGGAUGGAUUUGAGUAAGAGCAUACGGGGCCGGACCCGAAAGAAGGUGAACUAUGCCUGUAUAGGGUGAAGCCAGAGGAAACUCUGGUGGAAGCUCGCAGCGGUUCUGACGUGCGAAUCGAUCGUCAAAUAUGGGCAUGGGGGCGAAAGACUAAUCGAACCUUCUAGUAGCUGGUUUC
rnacentral:rRNA from 1 species